UACCAAGGACAGUAAAGAUACAGGCAGGCUAACCCCGCCAGGUCCGAAAGGAAGCAACGGUAACUUGACCUUAUCUGUUACUGUCCUUGGCCUUU
rfam:Methylacidiphilum fumariolicum SolV, WGS project CAHT01000000 data, contig: 68-2114